GAUGAACGCUGACAGAAUGCUUAACACAUGCAAGUCAACUGUGGCGGACGGGUGAGUAACGAGUAAAGAACUUGCCUCACAGAUAGGGACAACAUUUGGAAACGAAUGCUACACACUGCUACUGUGAGAGAGCUUUGCGUCCCAUGAGCUAGUUGGAGAGGUAAAGGCUCACCAAGGCGAUGAUGGGUAGCCGGCCUGAGAGGGUGAUCGGCCACAAGGGGACUGAGCUACGUCCCUGAUUCCUACGGGAGGCAGCAGUGGGGAAUAUUGGACAAUGGACCAAAGUCUGAUCCAGCAAUUCUGUGUGCACGAUGAAGUUUUCGGAAGGUAAAGUGCUUUCAUUUGGGAAGCGGUACCAACAUAAGAAGUGACGGCUAAAUACGUGCCAGCAGCCGCGGUAAUUC
rnacentral:rRNA from 1 species